AGAAUCUCUCCUGUCCAGUGGUAAGAGAAUAAGUAAAAAAGGCAAAUGUCUUGGAAUUAGUAUGGAAAUAGCUUUGACCUUAUAGACUUCCUGAUAGGGUCUCAGGUACCCUCUGUGGUCCUUGGACCACCCAUUGAGUACUGCUGCUAUAUAGUAAUGAAAAUUAAGAAACUACUACUAUAUGUAAUAUUAGAAAUGAACCUCACACGUGGUACUGGACAGAAGAUGCUGGAGAAAAAAGUACCUCCUAUAUCAUUCCAUUUAUUGGAAAUUCAGAAAUAGACAAAAACCACUGCAUAGUGUAAGAAGGCAGGAUAUCGCCUACCUUUGGUGGACUUGGCAUCCAGAGAUGAGCCCCAGAAGUUAUCUCCAAAAAGGGAUAUUUAUGAAACAGAAUUAUCCCAGUGGGUUAACAUGGAAGAAUUUAAAAGCCAUAGUCCUGAGAGAUCAAUUUUCAGUGCUAUCUGGGAAGGCAACUGUCAUUUUGAGCAACAUCAGGGACAAGAGGAGGGUUAUUUUAGACAACUUAUGAUUAACCAUGAAAACAUGCCCAUUUUUAGCCAACAUACUUUACUCACUCAAGAAUUUUAUGAUAGAGAGAAAAUCUCUGAAUGUAAAAAGUGUAGAAAAAUCUUCAGUUACCAUUUAUUUUUUAGUCACCACAAAAGAACUCAUUCUAAAGAACUUUCUGAAUGUAAAGAAUGCACAGAAAUUGUUAAUACACCAUGCCUUUUUAAACAACAGACAAUUCAAAAUGGUGACAAAUGCAAUGAGUGUAAAGAAUGUUGGAAGGCCUUUGUUCAUUGCUCACAACUUAAACAUCUAAGAAUUCAUAAUGGUGAAAAACGCUAUGAAUGUAACGAAUGUGGGAAGGCCUUUAAUUAUGGCUCAGAACUUACUCUACAUCAAAGAAUUCACACUGGUGAGAAACCUUAUGAAUGUAAAGAAUGUGGGAAGGCCUUUAGACAGCGAUCACAGCUUACUCAACAUCAGAGACUUCAUACUGGUGAAAAACCCUAUGAAUGUAAGCAAUGUGGGAAGGCUUUUAUUCGUGGCUUUCAACUUACUGAACAUCUGCGACUCCAUACUGGUGAGAAACCUUAUGAAUGUAAAGAAUGUGGAAAGACUUUUAGGCAUCGCUCACAUCUUACUAUACAUCAGAGAAUUCAUACUGGUGAGAAACCCUAUGAAUGUCGGGAAUGUGGGAAGGCCUUUAGCUAUCACUCAAGCUUCUCACACCAUCAGAAAAUUCAUUCUGGCAAGAAACCUUAUGAAUGUCAUGAAUGUGGGAAGGCUUUUUGUGAUGGCUUACAACUAACCCUACAUCAGAGGAUUCAUACUGGUGAGAAACCCUAUGAGUGUAAGGAAUGUGGGAAGACUUUUAGACAGUGUUCACACCUCAAAAGACAUCAGAGAAUUCAUACUGGUGAGAAACCUCAUGAAUGCAUGAUAUGUGGUAAGGCCUUUAGACUUCAUUCACACCUUAUUCAACAUCAAAGAAUUCAUACUGGUGAGAAACCCUAUGAAUGUAAGGAAUGUGGGAAGGCCUUUAGCUAUCAUUCAAGCUUCUCACACCAUCAGAGAAUUCAUUCUGGAAAGAAACCUUAUCAAUGCGGGAAGGCGUUUAAUCAUAGAUUACAACUUAACUUACAUCAGACUCUUCAUACUGGUGAGAAGCCAGUCAGGUUUCCUCUCCUCCCUCCCCAUCCUAGUCUAGCAUCAUGAAAUUUGUUGAUGGAAAUAUACA
rnacentral:sRNA from 1 species